rnacentral:snRNA from 1 species
AGCUUUGCGCAGUGGCAGUAUCAUAGCCAAUGAGGUUAAUCCGAGGCGUGAUUAUUGCUAGUUGAAAACUUUUCCCAGUACCUAGCUCUUAUAUAGUGCUGGUCAUCAGUAGAUCUCCGAGGACUUUACAAAG